rnacentral:lncRNA from 1 species
GAACUCCAAAAGAAAUAAUACCAGAGAUAUACUAAAGCUCCUGAUAGAAGAAAAACUAACAAUAUGGUAUACCCUCAAGUACUGCAAUAGACUGUGGAGAAAGUGACAUAUGAGAAAAAGAAUUCAUUUAGAAUAAUUGUGUAAACUGUUAAGUUUACCAUCCAUUACAUAUCUUUUGAAAAUGUCCAUUGUUGAAAGAAACAUGCACACAUGCAUACAUAAAUAUACAACUGGCUUCCAAGCUGUUUCCAUCUGUCAACUACUUACCAAUCCUUGGUUAACUUUAUGAUAAAAGAAACUUGCCUACGUUAGUGCUUAGUGGAAAUGA